ensembl:snRNA U6 U6 spliceosomal RNA
GUACUGAAAUCAAUCUGGAAUUGAGCACAUAUACCAAAAUGGGAAUGAAGCAGAGAAGAUUAGCAUGGCCCCUGUGCAAGGAUGACACACAUAUCCAUGAAACAUUCCAUAUUUGG